AGUGAACGCUGGCGGUAGGCCUAACACAUGCGAGUCGAACGGCAGCACAGUAAGAGCUUGCUCUUACGGGUGGCGAGUGGCGGACGGGUGAGGAAUACAUCGGAAUCUACUAUUUCGUGGGGGAUAACGUAGGGAAACUUACGCUAAUACCGCAUACGACCUACGGGUGAAAGCAGGGGAUCUUCGGACCUUGCGCGAUUGAAUGAGCCGAUGUCGGAUUAGCUAGUUGGCGGGGUAAAGGCCCACCAAGGCGACGAUCCGUAGCUGGUCUGAGAGGAUGAUCAGCCACACUGGAACUGAGACACGGUCCAGACUCCUACGGGAGGCAGCAGUGGGGAAUAUUGGACAAUGGGCGCAAGCCUGAUCCAGCCAUACCGCGUGGGUGAAGAAGGCCUUCGGGUUGUAAAGCCCUUUUGUUGGGAAAGAAAAGCAGCAGGUUAAUACCCCGCUGUUCUGACGGUACCCAAAGAAUAAGCACCGGCUAACUUCGUG
rnacentral:rRNA from 1 species